rnacentral:rRNA from 1 species
GACGAACGCUGGCGGCGUGCCUAAUACAUGCAAGUAGAACGCUGAAGAGAGGAGCUUGCUCUUCUUGGAUGAGUUGCGCACGGGUGAGUAACGCGUAGGUAACCUGCCUUGCAGCGGGGGAUAACUAUUGGAAACGAUAGCUAAUACCGCAUAACAAUGGAUGACACAUGUCAUUUAUUUGAAAGGGGCAAUUGCUCCACUACAAGAUGGACCUGCGUUGUAUUAGCUAGUAGGUGAGGUAAUGGCUCACCUAGGCGACGAUACAUAGCCGACCUGAGAGGGGGAAUCGCCCCACUGGGACCGGGGAGCGGCCCAGGCCUCUACGGGGGGGAGCCGUAUGGAAUCUUCGGCAACUGGGGCAACCCUGACCGAGCGACGCCGCGUGAGUGAAGAAGGUUUUCGGAUCGUAAAGCUCGGUUGUAAGUCAAGAACGGGUGUGAGAGUGGAAAGUUCACACUGUGACGGUAGCUUACCAGAAAGGGACGGCUAACUACGUG